rnacentral:rRNA from 1 species
GAUGAACGCUGGCGGCGUGCCUAAUACAUGCAAGUAGAACGCUGAAGGAGGAGCUUGCUCUUCUGGAUGAGUUGCGAACGGGUGAGUAACGCGUAGGUAACCUGCCUGGUAGCGGGGGAUAACUAUUGGAAACGAUAGCUAAUACCGCAUGACAACAGUUAUUGCAUGAUAACUGUUUAAAAGGGGCAACUGCUCCACUACCAGAUGGACCUGCGUUGUAUUAGCUAGUUGGUGAGGUAACGGCUCACCAAGGCGACGAUACAUAGCCGACCUGAGAGGGUGAUCGGCCAACCUGGGACUGAGACACGGCCCAAACUCCUACGGGAGGCAGCAGUGGGGAAUUUUCGGCAAUGGACGGAAGUCUGACCGGGCAACGCCGGGGGAGGGAAAAAGGUUUUCGGAUCGUAAAGCUCUGUUGUAAGAGAAGAACGGGGGGGGGGGGGGAAAGUUCCAACUGGGGGGGGAUUUUACCAAAAAGGGACGGUCAACUCCGG